UGCUUGGGUAGCUCAGUUGGUAGAGCACUUGCCCAUGAAAGGCAAAGGUCCCGAGUUCGAGUCUCGGUCCAGCAC
rnacentral:tRNA from 1 species